CGCUCCUCGGUAACUGGCUGAGGGAGUGACGAGCACGAGCUACCGGAGACAAGGAGGAGCUCCCCUGCGGGUGUUCCUCACAGGGCGCAGAGUUUUACUGGUAUUAAAUAUGUGCAAGUUCUGGCCAUCUAUUUUCAGUCUGGCCUGUGAUCACAGAUUUGGUACUUCUGGAUGUGGGGAUUGGAUGGAUCAUGGCUGAUCGUGAAAGUUAAGAGUUUUUGAUUCCCAAUUCCAAGUUUGAUCUCCUGUUUUGCUAAAGCACAUUCUCCAAGAGGGGUUGCAAGGCAGUUCUACCAUAUUAAAGCUCCUUGCAUUCCUUGGCUCAUGCUCCCAAUCCAUCUUCAAAGCUGGCAGCAUAGCAUCCUCAAAUGUUUCUCUAACUCUGACCUUCCUGCCUUUCUGUAUCACUUACAAGGACCCUUGUGACUAUAUUGGGCCCACCCAGGUAAUCCAGAAUAAUAUCUCCAUUUUGUGGUCAGCUGCUUAGCAACCUUAAUUCCCCUUUACUGUAUAACUUCACAUAUUCACA